CAGAGAAUAGUUUAAUAUUAUAAUGCUGGCUUUGGGGGCCAGCGGUGGGGGUUAAAAUCCCGCUUCUCUGA
rnacentral:tRNA from 1 species